AGCGAAUGGAUUAAGAGCUUGCUCUUAUGAAGUUAGCGGCGGACGGGUGAGUAACACGUGGGUAACCUGCCCAUAAGACUGGGAUAACUCCGGGAAACCGGGGCUAAUACCGGAUAACAUUUUGCACCGCAUGGUGCGAAAUUCAAAGGCGGCUUCGGCUGUCACUUAUGGAUGGACCCGCGUCGCAUUAGCUAGUUGGUGAGGUAACGGCUCACCAAGGCAACGAUGCGUAGCCGACCUGAGAGGGUGAUCGGCCACACUGGGACUGAGACACGGCCCAGACUCCUACGGGAGGCAGCAGUAGGGAAUCUUCCGCAAUGGACGAAAGUCUGACGGAGCAACGCCGCGUGAGUGAUGAAGGCUUUCGGGUCGUAAAACUCUGUUGUUAGGGAAGAACAAGUGCUAGUUGAAUAAGCUGGCACCUUGACGGUACCUAACCAGAAAGCCACGGCUAACUACGUGCCAGCAGCCGCGGUAAUACGUAGGUGGCAAGCGUUAUCCGGAAUUAUUGGGCGUAAAGCGCGCGCAGGUGGUUUCUUAAGUCUGAUGUGAAAGCCCACGGCUCAACCGUGGAGGGUCAUUGGAAACUGGGAGACUUGAGUGCAGAAGAGGAAAGUGGAAUUCCAUGUGUAGCGGUGAAAUGCGUAGAGAUAUGGAGGAACACCAGUGGCGAAGGCGACUUUCUGGUCUGUAACUGACACUGAGGCGCGAAAGCGUGGGGAGCAAACAG
rnacentral:rRNA from 1 species